UGGAGGCUUACCAUGCAAGUCGAACGGUAGCACGAGGAGCUUGCUCCCUGGGUGACGAGUGGCGGACGGAUGAGUAAUGCUUGGGAAUCUGGCUUAUGGAGGGGGAUAACUACUGGAAACGGUAGCUAAUACCGCGUAAUAUCGAAAGAUUAAAGGGUGGGAUCUCUAGACCACCUGCCAUAAGAUGAGCCCAAGUGGGAUUAGGUAGUUGGUGGGGUAAAGGCCUACCAAGCCUACGAUCUCUAGCUGGUCUGAGAGGAUGGCCAGCCACACUGGAACUGAGACACGGUCCAGACUCCUACGGGAGGCAGCAGUGGGGAAUAUUGCACAAUGGGGGAAACCCUGAUGCAGCCAUGCCGCGUGAAUGAAGAAGGCCUUCGGGUUGUAAAGUUCUUUCGGUGAUGAGGAAGGUGUUUUGUUUAAUAGACAAAGCAAUUGACGUUAGUCACAGAAGAAGCACCGGCUAACUCCGUGCCAGCAGCCGCGGUAAU
rnacentral:rRNA from 1 species